AUCCAGCUGAUGAGUCCCAAAUAGGAUGAAAAGCACGUCAAAACUGGAU
rnacentral:hammerhead_ribozyme from 1 species